GAUGAACGCUGGCGGCGUGCUUAACACAUGCAAGUCGAACGAGAAAUGUAGACGGAAACCUUCGGGCGGAAGCCUUCAUUUCGAGUGGCGGACGGGUGAGUAACGCGUGGGUAACCUGCCUCAUACAGGGGGAUAACAGUUGGAAACGACUGUUAAUACCGCAUAAGACCACAGCAUCGCAUGAUGCGGGGGUAAAAACUCCGGUGGUAUGAGAUGGACCCGCGUUCGAUUAGCCAGUUGGCGGGGUAACGGCCCACCAAAGCGACGAUCGAUAGCCGAUCUGAGAGGAUGACCGGACACAUUGGGACUGAGACACGGCCCAAACUCCUACGGGAGGCAGCAGUGGGGAAUAUUGCACAAUGGGGGAAACCCUGAUGCAGCGACGCCGCGUGAGUGAAGAAGUACUUCGGUAUGUAAAGCUCUAUCAGCAGGGAAGAAAAUGACGGUACCUGAGUAAGAAGCCCCGGCUAACUACGUG
rnacentral:rRNA from 1 species